rnacentral:rRNA from 1 species
GACGAACGCUGGCGGCGUGCUUAACACAUGCAAGUCGAACGGAAAGGCCCUGCUUUUGUGGGGUGCUCGAGUGGCGAACGGGUGAGUAACACGUGAGUAACCUGCCCUUGACUUUGGGAUAACUUCAGGAAACUGGGGCUACUACCGGAUAGGAGCUCCUGCUGCAUGGUGGGGGUUGGAAAGUUUCGGCGGUUGGGGAUGGACUCGCGGCUUAUCAGCUUGUUGGUGGGGUAGUGGCUUACCAAGGCAUUGACGGGUAGCCGACCUGAGAGGGUGACCGGCCACAUUGGGACUGAGAUACGGCCCAGACUCCUACGGGAGGCAGCAGUGGGGAAUAUUGCACAAUGGGCGGGAGCCUGAUGCAGCAACGCCGCGUGCGGGAUGACGGCCUUCGGGUUGUAAACCGCUUUCGCCUGUGACGAAGCGUGAGUGACGGUAAUGGGUAAAGAAGCACCGGCUAACUACGUG